AGUGAACGCUGGCGGUAGGCCUAACACAUGCAAGUCGAACGGCAGCACAGUAAGAGCUUGCUCUUACGGGUGGCGAGUGGCGGACGGGUGAGGAAUACAUCGGAAUCUACUUUUUCGUGGGGGAUAACGUAGGGAAACUUACGCUAAUACCGCAUACGACCUACGGGUGAAAGCAGGGGAUCUUCGGACCUUGCGCGAUUGAAUUAGCCGAUGUCGGAUUAGCUAGUUGGCGGGGUAAAGGCCCACCAAGGCGACGAUCCGUAGCUGGUCUGAGAGGAUGAUCAGCCACACUGGAACUGAGACACGGUCCAGACUCCUACGGGAGGCAGCAGUGGGGAAUAUUGGACAAUGGGCGCAAGCCUGAUCCAGCCAUACCGCGUGGGUGAAGAAGGCCUUCGGGUUGUAAAGCCCUUUUGUUGGGAAAGAAAAGCAGCAGGUUGAUACCCCGCUGUUCUGACGGUACCCAAAGAAUAAGCACCGGCUAACUUCGUG
rnacentral:rRNA from 1 species